rnacentral:rRNA from 1 species
CCCUUAGAUGUUCUGGGCCGCACGCGCGCUACACUGAUGCAUUCAACGAGUCUAAAACCUGCUCUGAUAGGGGUGGGUAAUCUUUUGAAUGUGCAUCGUGAUUGGGAUAGAUGAUUGCAAUUUUUCAUCUUCAACGAGGAAUGCCUAGUAAACGCAAGUCAUCAGCUUGCAUUGAUUACGUCCCUGCCCUUUGUACACACCGCCCGUCGCUCCUACCGAUUGAAUGAUCCGAUGAAUAUCAUGGAUUGAGGAUGCAAGCAGGUUCGCCUGUCUUCAUCUUCGAGAAAUGAAGUAAAUCUUAUCAUUUAGAGGAAGGAGAAGUCGUAACA